CCAUUCAUAUCAUGCUUUGGCUUUGGGGAUUUUUGUUUGUUUAUGUUGGUUAACCGUUUAUGUUUUCCAUAUCGCAUCGCGAUCAAGCCUACACCGGGUCGAUCAAUAAACAUGGCAGAAAAUGAUACUCAGCACGCCAAUUCGACAGAGAAAACUGAAGCAUACUGUAUUUCUGGUAUAAAUCUAGAUGUCAAAGAUGGAGAAAGAGCAAGUGAACUCGACAAAUUCGAAGGAAGCAUCGCCGAGCCCGAAUAUAGAAUGUACAAAUGGAGAUGGUUUGUGGUGGCGACGAUGGCAGUAUUGAAUAUUUCAAAUGCAAUGGCAUGGAUCUGUUUUGCUGCGAUCACAAAUUUCACUGCAGAAUACUUUGAGGUGUCCGUUGAUGCUGUUAACUGGUUUUCUUUGGUUUAUCUAGUUGUAGCCAUACCAAUGGGCUUUGUUGUUGCAUGGGAACUUAAUGCAUAUGGGUUUCGAAUUGCGAUUCUCCUUGGUGCAUGGCUAAAUUUCCUUGGCAUUCUCCUUCGUUAUCUGGGAACAGUCUUCCCAAUCCCACCGUCUUCCCAGUUUGCUGUAGUGAUGGCUGGACAGACCCUCGCAGCUUUUGGACAACCUUUCUUGCUCUUCUCACCUACCAAGAUGGCUGCUCUGUGGUUUAAUGAUAGUCAAAGAACAACAGGAAACAUUCUAGCAACCAUGGCCAAUCCUUUAGGGAUUCUUCUUUCUUUUCUCCUGUCUGCACUUCUUGUCAGUGAACCAAGUGAUGUCCCAUUAAUGCUUUGGGUUUUUGUCAUACCAGCGGCAAUUGGGGUUUGUAUGGCGACAUUUGGUAUAUGCAACAGUGCUCCUCCCACACCCCCAUCGAGCAGUGCAGACACUGAGCAUCAACCAUUUCUGACGGGUCUUAAAAUGCUUGUAAAGAAUCGUCAUUUUGUAAUUCUUUUUGUGACAUUUGGAGGAGGCUUUGGUAUUUUCAAUGCCAUUAGCACAUUCUUAGAGCAAAUUGUGUGCCCCAUCGGAUACAACGAUAAUUUUGCCGGUUUGGUAGGAGCAUUGAUGAUAGGUGUUGGUCUUCUUGGGGCAGUAGUAGCGGGUCUUAUUGUUGACAAGACUAAGGCAUUCACACCAGUCGUCAAAAUUUGUAAUGCAUUAGCCAUUGUCUUUGUAUUCAUCUUGUCUAUUUCUUCCAAGUUUGUGUAUGCUGGUGCUGGAGUUUUGAUUGGAGGCGUAGGCUUUGGUCUCUUUGGUCUAGCCCAAUUCUCUAUCGCUCUAGAGCUCGGGGUAGAGUGUUCCUAUCCAGUAGCUGAGGGAACCAGUGCCUGUAUCUUACAGGUCUCGGGUCAAGUACAGGGAAUCAUUCUCAUCAUUUUAGGUCAGGUCCUUGCCCAACCUAUCAACGUGGACUACCUACCUGAUCAAAAGUGCAUUGACAUGUCACUUGCGAACAUCACAUCAGCGCCACCUACUGAAAGUGCCUUUACAACCUCCAUGGUGCCCACAAUGCCAGAUGAUGAGAUACAAACAGUGCUUGAUAUGACAAGUAAGUAAUUAACCAAAUGAAGUUUGAUAUACAUAUAAUCUAAAGAAACCUAGUUUGAAUAAUUCAAUUGACAUAAAAAAUUUGCCUUUACUAGCUAGAGAAGUAAUAGUAGUAGUAGCAGCAGUAGUAAUAGAAGUAGUAUUAGUCAUAAUAGUAAUACCUUAAUAGUGGUAGUAGUGGUAGUAGUGAUAGAAGUGGUAGUAGUUGUAGUAGUAGUAGAAGUAGUAGUAGAUGUAGCAGCAGUAGUAGUAGUAGUAGUAGUAGUAGUAGUAGUAGCCCAGUAGUAGUAGUAAUAGUAGUAGUAGUAUAGUAGUAGCAGUAGCAGUAGUAGCAGUAGUAGUAGUAGUAGUAGUAGAAGAUAUGUAGCCGUAGUAGUAGUAGUGGCAGUAGUAGUAGUGGUAGUAGUAGUAGUGGUGGUAGUAGUAGUAGUGGUAGUAGAUACUAGUAAGCUAUUGAAGUAGACUUUAUCGAAUAAAUUCAGCACAAGGCUACACAUGUUUACCUAGCACAAGGUCAGUGCUUUUUCCAUAACUAAAAAGCAAAUACACAUCAUUUGCAGGGUUGAACAUUAUUUGAUGAAAUAUAAUCUGUUCUUUUAAAAUACAGUUCCUUUGUUUGUAUAUGCUGGAUAUGGCAUGAUCAUUACAGCGAUCUUAAUCCUCUUCUUCCGAACGAGAUAUCUGAGGCUCGAAGCAGAACAAUCAAAACGAGACCCAUUCGACAAUUCCUCGUGACUGGAGACACAAGAAAAUUAACAAAUAUUUUGACCCGAGGAUUAAAUCUACCUCCUCGGCUCAGGUGAUUUUAUAUGCUUAAUGUAGAAUGAUAAUGGAUGCUUUGAAUGUGAUUUAGAGAGUGUAUAUGUUUCAUUAAUUCAUUAUUUUAGUAUACAUAGUUACACAUAAUCAGUCAACCAUGUUUAUAACAUUAGAAUAUUCUAACAUUAUUAAAUAAUGUUUGGUAAUGAAAUGAGGUAUAGUAAAACCAACACUAAACGCCCCCUAAAAAUAAUGAUAAAAAAGUCACUGUCAGACAGGAAUAGCGUCAGUGACUAGCAUGAUACAAUGGGAAUAUUUAGGUUAAAUAUAACAGAAUAAAUGAUAGAGUAGACUACUAUCGGUUGUCUCGUGAAGCGGUUGAAACUGUAGAGAGUCACAACAUUUCGUUGGCUGCUGCUCAACUUUCUCAAGUGAUGGAGACCUUGGUGCGAGGGCGAAUGUUAUAGCGUGUAAAGAAUAAAUGAUGUACAAAUGCAUUUUAAGACACGGGUUUAAAAGCCUGAUGCCUCGAUCACCAGCUAAGAUGGAUGACCACUGAUAACAUGUUGAUUAGAGGUCUUUGAUUUACUUCAAGAAUCAAGAUUUUGUGCUGGUCAAGAUCCACCAUACCUAUCAGAGAUGGCCUUCCUUAGGGGCAGCUAUUUGAGAGCCAUCAUUAAUGUAUGCCCCUCAUGUGCUUUGAUGUGUUGGUGAUUUUAGCCUACUGUUGUCAGUUAUUUGUCAUUGAUUCAUAAUGUUUGCCUUGCUUGAACAACAUUAAAACUAAGUGAAAGUGUAAUGAUACAUUAACAAUGCACCUUGAUUUUUGAAGAAUUUUUCUUUACAUCACUGCAAUGACCUGAAUACAUAGGAUUUUUUUUUUCAUCUUUCCCUUUCUAUUCUUUUAAUACUUGUAUGUAUAUUGAUGUUGAAAUAUUUGUCCUCUGCUCUUUCAUCACAGGCAAUUUGGAAGUUUCAUUAGAAAUUACAUUUUUAUUAUAAACUUGAAUAUAUAUGAUAAGCAUUCAAAAUUAUUGAUAUAUUAAUGUACAGUAUCCAUCAUAAUUAAAUUAUAUUGUGAAUUAAUAAAUAUCUCUUAUAUAUUGAAAAAAAAAGUAUUUAAUGAAGGCACUGACAGUUUGCCCCUUGCCUAUUUGUCAUUGUAAAAAAAGGUUUACAAAAAAACUCUUGCCUCUGAAUCAAUUAUUCUCAUUGAAGUUAUAUAUAUAUAUAUAUAUGCCUGUUUGAUUAUGCACUUUCAUGAUGUCUAGGACUAGACUAUGAAUUAUGAUAAAAUGCAUCACAAAAGGUUAUAAUUAGCCUUGAGAACAUUCCUUUUUUUUUUCAUUAUUAACUGCGAUACGUUAUAAAUGCUAUCCUUCAUUUGGAUACAAUUUACCUCAUAAAACAUAAAUCAUAUUUGCGUGCAUUUAUACAUUUCUGUGGCGAUUCUGAAAUCUUGUGCAAGUUUUUUUUUAUGUUGCAGUGUACUACCUUGAGAGGUUAUGUUAUUCUUGGUUUGACAAUUGUUUUAUGUAAGUUGAGUUCUACAGAAAUGAUGACUGCUAUAUUGACUUGAAUUUCCAUAUGAUUUUCAUGCUGUCAAAAGUAAGAUAUAUGUGAACUUCUGAAGUCUUGAAUCACAUGAUUAUCUAGGUUUAUACAUGUAUUUGUUAUUUUUAAUUCAUAUAUAGAUCCUACAAGUUGGCUUUCAUUUGUAAAGUAUAAUGGCAAUAUUUUUUUUCUUGAUUAGAACAAAAUGAUGCGACUGUUUUUCAGUAAUGUUAAAGCAAGUUGAUUUCUGUUCAUAUACUAGUUAUAAACAUUUACCCAUUGUAUGAUAUCAUGACAUCACAAUAUAAAGGGGAAAAAAACCUUCUUUGAAGAUAAAGAUUGUAAAAUAUGUGUGCUAACUAGCCACAAGGUAGUCUAUAACAUAGGUAUGUAAUUAUGAAACCAUGUUUAGCUCAUAGCCUCUUACAUUAUUUAUGUAACUUCAAAGUUGUCUGCAAUUUAAUGAUUCAGAUUUUCAGGCAAAUUCAGUGAAAAAAAAAAGGAUUUUACAGCUUAGAGUUCAUCAGGAUAAAAAUCACUAUUAGUUUUACUUUGCAUCUAGUAUAGUUACAAUUCCCUACUGCCAAUCAAAAAUCAAGGAUAUCAAGGAAAUUACUGUUGGAUAGCAAAACAAAAAUAAAUAAAUGUUAUGCAAGAGGACCCUGGUGAUGGUUUUCACAUGCUUUGAACAGCUUUAUAUCAACUACCACUGCAAGUUAGGUGUCAUUUUUUUACAUCAAUGUUUUGUAAACUAGCCGGAUGAAAUAAGCCUUAUAUUUUGUUCUUCAAUGAAUGUCUUUCAUGGUAAUGUUUUUUUUUUCAGGAAUUAAUGAUGCAAUGAUCACAUUCACUCAGGUGUUGAUUGAGAUGAAAAGCUAUCAGUAUUUUUUAGUAUGCAUUGAUUACAACAAAUGACGCGAUUGUUUUUCAGUAAUGUAAAGCAAGUUGAUUUCUGUUCAUAUACUAGUUAUAAACAUUUACCCAUUGUAUGAUAUCAUGAAAUCACAAUAUAUAGGGGGAAAAAAACUUCUUUGAAAGAUAAACAUGGUUUCAUUUUAUUGACAUCAAUUUUUUGUAAACUAGCCGGAUGAAAUAAGCCUUAUAUUUUGUUCUUCAAUGAAUGUCUUUCAUGGUAAUGUUUUUUUUUCUUCAGGAAUUAAUGAUGCAAUGAUCACAUUCACUCAGGUGUUGAUUGAGAUAAAAAGCUUUCAAUACUUUUAAGUAUGCAUGGAUUAGCUGAGAUGAAAGAUGUAUUGCUAUUUACAACAUUAAACCAGUUGAAAGACUUGAUUCAGAUAUUGAUCCUGUUUUUAGUAUUUAUAAAUUCUUCAUAAUUCUUAUGAUAUAAUGAUAAUUGUACAGUUUAUAUUGUGCAAUUCGUUUGUACUCAACUGCCCAUUACAACAUGGUACUUAAAAGGUUAAAUAGAUAACAAGUAAACAAAAGGUAUGAUUAAGUUACACAUUGUAAUUAUGAGGAAAAAGGGAAGCCUACUGGCUGUACAAAGUAUAAUUUUAUAACAAUUAUAUAACAUUAAAUUAUAUAUAACAAUUAUAUUCAUGUAUAUAUGUUGCACAAGUAUAUGUAUUGAUUGGUUAACUGUAACGAUAUGCAAAUUGCUUUUAUAACAUUUAAAGUGAUUAAAAGCUGAUUAAUUUGUGACAUUUAUUGUACUCAGUACUGACUAAAUUAUGACAUUUAUCAUACUCGGACCUUUUUCAAAUAUACCCCUUUCUAUGUUGAAAACCCAUAUGUAUUGUUUAACUUAGAUUAAAGAACCUUUAUCCAGAAGAGUUGAUAAAAGAUAUUCCAUCAGAUUGCUGAUCGACUUAAUGAUAUUCAGUACUAUUUCAUAAUACUUAAUUUAUGCAUUUAUGUCUUUCUCUAUAAUGUCCAAUAAUCAUGUGUAUUAAUUAAUUGCGUGUAUGAAAUAAGAAUUGUUUAUAUACAUUAAAAAUAGUUGAAACAGUAUGUUGAAUGAUAA